ACAGCAGGCACGGAUUAUGGGGGAAAGAAGAGAAGUAAUCAGGAGAAAAUGUCCCUCUGGCUCAUCUCUUUUCUGUUUGUGGGCCCUUGUGGGAUGGAGCUCUUGAGUGCCACACUUUCUCAUUUCUGUCAGGUUUGCUGUUGAAUUCCCAGGAUGCAGCAAAACAGACCCGCAACAUUCCAUAAUCCAGUGUGAGGGUGUCUUAUCCACUUAUCUCUUCAUGGCAAGCCCAUUUAUUUUGACUCUGCCAAAUAGUAUGUGAACAGGAUCAAUCAAGCUGCAGCUUAAGGAGUCAACUGUGGGCUGUGUAAUAUCCCUUCACAAAAGGAAUCGCCAAGUUCAAAUGCCAUCAGGAGCCAGAGAGUAACAUAAGUUCGAACUGGAACUUUACCAUCAGCUUUCCUGGGCUUCCAGCUUACAGAUAGCAGAUCAUGGGACUUCUCAGCCUCCAAAAUCACAUGGUGUUUUUACAGCAUUUGCCAAUGCUUUCAACUGCUAAGAUGAGUUAAUAAAAAGGAGAUUACUGUGUAAUGCCAAGUCUCAGUUGUCUGGAAUUAACUUCCUCCUCAAUCCAGGGCACAUCGCAGCCUUCUUGCACUCCGGAACCCUAGACACCACUUAAGCAUCACCUGUGGGGCAAAUUUAAACAGCAACAUAACCAAUAAAAAAGCACACAAAUGCAGGACCCAUAGCAGUC